UUAUUUCAAAGACUUGCCAAUUAAUACUGGUUGUCUCCCGUCCUAAAAGCUACACAAACAUAGAGAAAGAAACGGUCCCUUCUCUGAAGGUCUUCCCUGAUGAUCUAAAACAAGAAGGAGCUGAUGGAGAUGUACUAAAAUAGGCCUUGCAGGAAUCUCUAAUCCAUGCCAGCUGCAUCUGCCUUCAAAAUCCUUCUUCCAAACGAUCUUCUCGCUGCAAUGUCUGAAGGAAACCUUGUCAAAGGAACCUAGCUUGAUAGAUGCAGUGUAAAGUAGGUAUGUGACUCCUCAAGGGGGCUAAAGUUACACCCAGGAAGGGUUGGAGCACUCAGUGAAACGUGCCUGCCAUUCUGAGCACUUAGGACGGUAUGCCAGGAAUCAUAGGGAAUCACACCGGCACACCAGCGCGUGAGUGAGAGGUGAGAGGGCUUUCU